rnacentral:tRNA from 1 species
GGGGUUGUGGCUCAGCAGUAGAGCGCUCACGUCGCAUGUGCAAGAUCCUGGGUUCGAUCCUCAGCACCACA